UAGAGUGAUCUUGUGGUUUUAGCUGACGUGUGUCGCCUCACUGUUUUGAGCGAUGCUCGUUCAUGUCUAUGUAGAGCGAGCACAAGCGCGAGCCCGCCGCUGACUUUCGUUGACUUAACGGCCACGGGUGUUGCUGUUAAUAAGCAUUUCUAAUUAUUACAAACAGUCCCUUUAAAUGGAGAUCUGUCAAGUAUUUAAUACUCUUAUCAAUAUGGAAGAGG